GAUGAACGCUGGCGGCGUGCCUAACACAUGCAAGUCGAACGAAGCGAUUUUUAUGAAGUUUUCGGAUGGAAUAGAGAUUGACUGAGUGGCGGACGGGUGAGUAACGCGUGGGUAACCUGCCUCACACUGGGGGACAACAGUUAGAAAUGACUGCUAAUACCGCAUAAGCGCACGGUACCGCAUGGUACAGUGUGAAAAACUCCGGUGGUAUGAGAUGGACCCGCGUCUGAUUAGCUUGUUGGCGGGGUAACGGCCCACCAAGGCGACGAUCAGUAGCCGACCUGAGAGGGUGACCGGGCACAUUGGGACUGAGACACGGGCCCAAACUCCUACGGGAGCAGCAGUGGGGAAUAUUGCACAAUGGGCAAAGCCUGAUGCAGCAACGCCGCGUGAGUGAAGAAGUAUUUCGGG
rnacentral:rRNA from 1 species